AUGAACAAAUUCUUAGUAGACCAAGAUUUUUAUUCUAGGACUAAAUCCUAAUCUACAACAUUUUAUUAGUACUACAGAAUUUUGCUAAGCUGAAAACCCCAUUAUAUUCACAAAAUAACAACAACCCAUGAUGAGGUAAGAGAAGUCAGCUACAUGGAGCCUCAUAAUAUAGCAGAUACUGAAUUUCCCAAACCAGGGUAUGAUACUUAAAAAGCCCCAGUUUACUUGGGUACAUCCCCAACAAAAUAAAGGUAUCAACCAGGCCCUUGACCCUCAAAGUAUCAGAUCUUAGAUUAUGAUUUUGUAAUAGGCACAAAGAAAUAUGAAGUUUCACUAAAUAAUAGUUUCUAAAGAACAGUUUUCCAGACACUUGUGUCUGCCAGAGUUUUACAAGGGCUAUGAAGGAUGCAGCCAUUUCCCUAUGACAAUCUUCUCCAUUUUCCCCCCAUAAUUUUUAGGAAAGAUUUUAGGCAAAUGAGUGAGAGAAACCUCCGUCCCUAUUCAGAAGUCCAAGGUCUUCUGCAGAUUUCUUUUCAAAAUUUAAGAGUGGGGAAGAGGAGCUGGGGAAGGAGGCUUUAAGGCCAACUCUGGCGCUAUGCCUUGGGGCCUUGUCUGAGCACCCAGUGUUGAAGUUCCCAAGACCACCUCAGAUUUAAUGCUUUACCAGGACAACUGACAGGACUCAGUAGUCAUCCCCACAGCCAGGAUUUAGUAUAGCAAAAGGACACAGAAAACAAGUGGCAAAGGGGACUGGAGCCUGGGAUGAAGUCAGAAGAGAUUGCCAGACUCUAGAAUCUCUCUUGGGGGAGUCACACAAAACGUGCUUAAAUCACCCAGUACAGAGCUGUGACAUCACAAGUGGCAUGCUGUGUACCAGGAAACUUGCUCAGAGAUGGUGCCUGGAAUGUUUAGAGAAUGUUGGUCACACAGAUACCCCUGGCUGCCAAAGAAAAGCGGGUGCACAACUCAAACAACACUGUAUUAUCCAGGGGCUCUAAGGAAGAAAUUAAGGUUGAACGAGGCUACAGAGGGAUGGCCCUGAAAUGAGUGGAUUAGAGUGACCUUAAGAGAAA